CAAGACCCCAAAAAAGGAACCGAGGGCGGGGUAUUGGUAAGAACACCAACUCGAUAGCAAACGGCGCACAGGGGAGGUUUCGGUCAGGGUUAGGGUGAAGGAGCCCAAGCCAAAGGCCACUGAGAACACUGAUCCCAAUGUGGAGAAGGCUGCCAAGGUUGGAGCCAAGAAGACUAAGGACAAGGAAGCCGAAGCUGAGAAGAAAAAGGCUACAGCCAAAAAGCAGAAGGAGAAACCU